UCCUCCACUUCCCGUUGGCUUUUUUGACCAUGACAACAUUGGCGAGCCAAUUGGGAUACGUGGAUUCUCGGAUGAAGCCCGCUUCGAGUAGCUUGUCCACUUCUUCGUCGAUGGCCCUUUGUCUCUCUGGAGCGAAGGAUCUUUUCUUCUACCUCACCGGCCUCAUCGUCGGGUCGAUGUUGAGUCGGUGGGUUAUUGUUUCUGGGGGGAUGCCCGACAUAUCUGCUGCCGACCAAGCAAAUAUGUCGGCAUUAGCCGUCAG
rnacentral:lncRNA from 1 species